rnacentral:rRNA from 1 species
UACGUAGGGGGCAAGCGUUGUCCGGAAUCAUUGGGCGUAAAGCGCACGUAGGCGGAUUUGUAAGUCAGGGGUGAAAUCCCGGGGCUCAACCCCGGAACUGCCUUUGAUACUGCGAAUCUCGAGUCCGGAAGAGGUGAGUGGAAUUCCUAGUGUAGAGGUGAAAUUCGUAGAUAUUAGGAAGAACACCAGUGGCGAAGGCGGCUCACUGGUCCGGUACUGACGCUGAGGUGCGAAAGCGUGGGGAGCAAACAGG